rnacentral:rRNA from 1 species
UACGUAGGGUGCGAGCGUUGUCCGGAAUUACUGGGCGUAAAGAGCUCGUAGGUGGUUUGUCGCGUUGUUCGUGAAAUCUCACGGCUUAACUGUGAGCGUGCGGGCGAUACGGGCAGACUAGAGUACUGCAGGGGAGACUGGAAUUCCUGGUGUAGCGGUGGAAUGCGCAGAUAUCAGGAGGAACACCGGUGGCGAAGGCGUUCUGCUAGGCCAAGACUGACACUGAGGGACGAAAGCUAGGGGAGCGAAUGGGAUUAGAUACCCUGGUAGUCCACGCCGUAAACGGUGGGUACUAGGUGUGGGUUUCCUUCCCUUGGGAUCCGUGCCGUAGCUAACGCAUUAAGUACCCCGCCUGGGGAGUACGGCCGCAAGGCUAAAACUCAAAGGAAU